GCAGCACUAAAGCAAUGUUCCAAAUAUCAGAUAACAGUUACAGUAGUAAAAAUAAUAGUACAUUAUCAUUUCCACUAGGAUAACAAGAUUAACAAAUUGCUACAAAGUUAAGAAGCAGAGAAAAGAAAUUCAUAGACAGGUUUAUUCACAAUGUACAAUGUUAUUAAUGCUGAUGGGAAUGCCAAAGAAAAAUAUGAAGUCGACAUGGAACUAAAAUUUUGAUCUACGUCGAGGUAAAGUAUAAAGGGCAGGAACAAAUUGAAACUGUGGAUGAAGGUCAAAGCUUAAACUCAAAAAAUACUUCCAGACUAAUGACAGCUCAACCCCCAUUAGCAUGCUUCUGUCCCACGGACUUCAUAUCCAACUUCUCAACAUUCUUUAAAUUGCAUUCUCAUCACAACAUGAAAUAACAUUGUCAGAGUAGAUAAUAAUUUGAUACACAUAAUAGAAAGACUUGACGGGUAAUGGACAAUGCCUUCAAUAAAAUUCUUGAUGGCCAUGCAUUAUUUAACUCUUAACAAGUCUAUUGAGGAAAAUACUCUUGAUCUCCUUGACAAACUCCAAG
rnacentral:lncRNA from 1 species